AAAAAUCUAGACCGUUUGCUUUCCUUCAAUGUUUAAACUACAUCCAAAAUUACCCAACCCCCCACCACAAACUCAUAAGUUUAGCAAGAAGCCGGGUAAUUGGAUUUACACAGACAGUUUGAAUAAUUCUGUGAAUUAAUUAGGGACGGAAUUUAGACACGAUCUCUGGUAAAUUUGUCACUCUGCCAGACGUGCAGUGGUGCUAAAGGCAGAAGGCGAGGAAGGAGGGAAACGUGUCUCCAUGACAGGAGUCAUAACAGCCCUGUUAGCGUCGCUCGCAGCCAUUAUGGAAAUAAGUAAGACCCUCGAUACAUGCCGAAUAUAGAGAAUCCAGCCUAAUGAGUCAGACAGCAACAGGCUGACGUAUUUUUGAUUCCGAAAUCACCGGAGAGGAUGCGAAAUAGACAGUGAAGCCAUAACCCAGAGUUGCAGAUUCAGUGCCACAGAUAUACCAUGAACGGGAGCUGGAGCCACACUAUGUGAUCAGGGAGUGGAAGAUAAGCAAGAAAGCACUGAUUUUGAAAUCGAAACAGACUGUACAACAUUGCAGCCAAGAUCCAGUGGAAUAAAUAAAGUGUUUUGUAGCUACACAGCCCAUAAGAGCGCAUGGAAAGGACAAGAAGCGGGACCCGAUUAUUAACGGCCAUGGCAGAAAAGGGCGCUGAACAUUGCCUCCAUGGAGAUGGGAAGGCAAUUGUGGGAUGCAAGGCUUCCUCAAGGCUGCCUGCCUCUAGCUGACUCACAGCUCCAUGUCUCGCAGUCUCUGUCCCAGACGGUUUUCCAAACAAGGAUUCUGAGGUUUAGAAUCUUACCAUGGAAAUGGGGGCCCAGCCGUGUUAAAAUGCCGAUCAGCGGAGGCUAACAAGCCAUCCCUCACUUCGCUAGAGACCAUUUCGUGGAAGCAAGAUACUCACUUCUUCUAUCUUCCCAGAACAGAACAGAACAGAUAAGAAUAAAUUACAUUUUUUUAUCUUCCCGAAUCCGCUGCAAAAUGCCCGAGUGUCGGUUAAUUUGUAAUGCGGUUUGUUAACGCAGAAUGUUAAAAUGCUGCAGACAUUUUCUGCCAGUCUGUCCUGCGUAAUAUCAGUGAAGUGUUUUCAUGAAUGUAUUUUUCAUUAUUUAUUUAUUUUUCGCAUUUUCUGAAACACAGGAGGCUGCAGAGGCAAUACUCAGUCUUACACGUCCAUAC